rnacentral:rRNA from 1 species
AUUGAACGCUGGCGGCAGGCUUAACACAUGCAAGUCGAACGGUAACAUAAAGAAGCUUGCUUCUUUGAUGACGAGUGGCGGACGGGUGAGUAAUGCUUGGGAAUCUAGCUUAUGGAGGGGGAUAACUACGGGAAACUGUAGCUAAUACCGCGUAGAAUCGAGAGAUGAAAGUGUGGGACCUUCGGGCCACAUGCCAUAGGAUGAGCCCAAGUGGGAUUAGGUAGUUGGUGAGGUAAAGGCUCACCAAGCCGACGAUCUCUAGCUGGUCUGAGGGGAUGACCAGCCACACUGGGACUGAGACACGGCCCAGACUCCUACGGGAGGCAGCAGUGGGGAAUAUUGCGCAAUGGGGGCAACCCUGACGCAGCCAUGCCGCGUGAAUGAAGAAGGCCUUCGGGUUGUAAAGUUCUUUCGGUAGCGAGGAAGGCAUUUAGUUUAAUAGACUAGGUGAUUGACGUUAACUACAGAAGAAGCACCGGCUAACUCCGUGCCAGCAGCCGCGGUAAUACGGAGGGUGCGAGCGUUAAUCGGAAUAACUGGGCGUAAAGGGCACGCAGGCGGUGACUUAAGUGAGGUGUGAAAGCCCCGGGCUUAACCUGGGAAUUGCAUUUCAUACUGGGUCGCUAGAGUACUUUAGGGAGGGGUAGAAUUCCACGUGUAGCGGUGAAAUGCGUAGAGAUGUGGAGGAAUACCGAAGGCGAAGGCAGCCCCUUGGGAAUGUACUGACGCUCAUGUGCGAAAGCGUGGGGAGCAAACAGG